UCCUGAAAUAUAUAAUCCAAUAUCCUAUACAGAUACAUAUAGUUUAAAAUAGGGUACACUGGCCCACAUAAUAUCAACUAUUCAAAUACAACACUGACAAUUCGACCUUUGCAACAAUUUAUAAACCACAGUACCCAAAAUACAUAACAUAUACAAAACAUAGCAGGCCCAAAACAUAGAACUAAUUUUUGACCAAAAGAGGUGUCUAUCCCAAAAUAUGAACUAUUAAACUGAUAAGAUGAGUCAUACAAUUCUUGACAAUCUAUGACUCAACUCGAUAGAUCAACUGGCCCAGUAGUGCUCAACUUAACUGCUAUUUGAUAAGAGAAAUUGUGAUAAAAAUGUGAGUUUAUAACUCAGUGAGUGGAUAUUUUGUAAGUAAAUAUAUAUUUUCUAGAUAUACCUACUUUCUGAAAACUGGUAUAUAAUAAAAAUGUUCUUUUAUUGUACUAUAAGUUAAAACAUUUAUUCUUUAAAUUGAAGUGACUAAAUUCUGUAAUCUGAAAAUUGAUGAAUUGCAAUUUACUGAAAAUCACACCAAAAAGAUACCCGAAAUAACCUUACUCAUGUAUCAGUUAGUACCGAUAUACAUGGCAGAGCUAUUCGAUUCUGUAAUUCUGAAAUUCUGGUCAUACGCGCGCAGAGCUGAAAUUUUGUAAUUCUGGUCAUACGCUAUGGAAACAUAUUCAUAAUAAUGCAGAGCGGGUAAAAUCACCAUAACUGGUCAUACACUGUGGAAACACAUUCACACCAGUGCAGAGAGGGUAAAAUCACCAUAACUAGUCAUACAUUGUGGAAACACAUUCACACCAGUGCAGACUGCGGUAAAAUCACCUGGAUACUUUCUGGUAGUUUUUAGAAAUAACUUUAAAUAUUUUGAAACACGUAAUAUCGAUAAAACAUGCUAAUGAAAUGAUUUUACUUAACUAAAUCAAACUUUAAAAACAACUGUUUAUAAAUCAACUUUAUUAUGAAAAUCAUGCUAUCAAAUCAACUGUAUGAAAUAAUAAAUUUUCUGAUUUAAUAUAAAUUGAAUAAAUACUUAUUGCUGAAGAAUUAGUUUUCAGCCACUCACUCAAUACGAGUUAUAGAUUAGGCCAGUCGGUAAGCUUUUCCAAUUUUUUCGUCACCACUUGAAAUACAUUACAAAAUAACUAAUUUAAUCACCAAUAAAAUAAGGAAACAUUUUAUCUCUAAUCAUAUAAUAAUUAAACUAAAUUUUUCGAGACUUGCGAAAUUUUCCUAAAUUUCCUUUAAUCAAUCGGAGCUAAUUUCCACUUUCUAAUACCUUCACAAUUAUAUACCACAUCCAAAUUUAACUUCAUUCCAAUCACAACAAUAUUUAUCCCUUUCAUUCUAGUGAAAAACUAGCAAUCAUACUACAACCAAAUUAAUAUAUCUAUCGUUCCCCAAAAUCAUUCUUCCAAGUGAAUGAUUCCAUUAAUGUAAUCAUUUCCACAAAUAAUUCAUGCUCAAUCAUCAAAUUUAAAAAUUAGGGUUUGCCCAAAAAAAUUGAUAUCUCCUUACCUUAGUGUAGGUAGAAAUUCAAGAAUCAAUAACUUGAGCUCCAAGUAGUAUUCAUCUAAAAAAUCUGAAAAUGUCGAGCCAAAAUAAAACCCUAGAAUUUUAACAUAAAAUUUAUCUACCUCUUGAAGAAAAUAAAGAGAAAGGAAAAAUAGAAAUAGACCUUGAACUACCUAUUUCCUUUCUUCUUCUUCUUCCCUUUUUCUUCCCUUUUCUUUCCCUUUUUCUUUCCUUUUUCUUUUUGUUGAUUUCUUCUUCUCUCUGCCGGUUCCAGAUUUUUCCUAUUUAUUUGAUGGAUUGAUAUAUUAAAAAAAAAGGAAGGGUGAGGGGGAAGGGGCUAAUUGUUGUAUAAUUGCUACAUGCCCUCCAUAACACCAACUUUAGCAAUUUAAUUCCUUCAACUCCAUUUUUUAUAUCACAUUUAACCAUAAACUUCCAAAAUAUAUAAGUAAAUUCCCAACUUUAAAUUGUAUCCAAUUUUACCCUCAUAUAUUGCCAAUUGUAAAAUAAACCCCAAUAAAAGAUUUUAGUCAAUUCAAGUCCCAAAACAAUCAUUUAUUUCAUUUAAGUCCCUAUGUGACUUUGACUUUGAAAAUUCAACUCUUGACUGUUGAUUAAAUAAUAUGCGUUGUAACAAUUUUACCUCUUUAAAAGAAUUUCGUCCUCGAAAUUCAACUGGCAUCUGAUUAGGUAACGAAUAGAUGAGAAUAUUGAACACGCAUCUGAUCCUCAUUCUCCCAUGUAGCCUCUUCUACUGUCUGAUUCUACCAAAGUACCUUAACAAGUGAAAUUGUCUUGUUUUGUUGAAUCUGUACUUUCUUAUCUAAAAUUCUCACUGGCUGUUCUAUAUAAGUCAAAUUCUCUUUCCACUGAAUUGGUUGAGAUUUCAGAACAUGAGAGGGAUCUGCAACGUAUUUGCGAAGCAUGGAAACAUGAAAAACAUCCUGGAUCUGAGAUAAUUCAGUCGGCAAAUCUAACCGAUAUGCAACUAGACCAAUCUGCUCAGUAAUCUCAUAUGGUCCAAUGUAUCGUGGACUCAAUUUUCCUCGCUUGCCAAAUCUCAACACCCCUUUCCAAGGAAAUAAUUUAAGAAAAACAUUAUCUCCCACUGCAAAUUCAAGAUCUUUCCUACAUCUGUCUGCACAACUUUUCUGUCUAUCCUAAGCUGCUUUCAACUUUUCUUUUAUCAACUUCACAUUCUCAGACAUCAUUUGAACCAAUUCAGGGCCUGCAAAAUUCCUCUUACCAGCUUCAUCCCAACAAAUUGGUGUCCUACACUUCCGACCAUAUAAAACUUCAAAAUGAGCAAUUUCUAUACUAAAGUGGUAGUUGUUAUUGUAAGCAAACUCCAUCAAUGAUAGAUGAGUAUCCCAGCUACCUUUGAGCUCUAAAACACAAGCCCUCAACAUAUCCUCAAGAGUCUGUAUGGUCCUCUCUGAAAUCUGUCUAAGGAUGAAAAGUUGUACUGAAAUGUAGUUUAGUACCCAUGGUUUCCUGCAAACUGGGCCAAAAUUUAGAUGUAAAAUGAGGGUCUCUAUCAGAGACAAUAGAUAAUGGAGUACCAUAUAAGCUCACUAUCUCGUGCACAUACAACUUUGCCGACUUAUUUAAAGUAUAAGUAGCCUUGAUCGGCAAGAUCUAGCAGUUUUGGUCAAGCGAUCUACAAUAACCCAAACUCCAUCAUGACCAUUCUGAGUACGAGGAAGACCAAAUAAAAAGUUCAUGGUAAUGUGCUCCCAUUUCCAUUAUGGAAUAGGCAAUGGCUGUAAAAGUCCUACUGUUUUCUGACGAACUGGCUUUACCUACUGACAGAUAAGACAUUUGGAUACAAAAUCUGCUACUUCUCUCUUCAUUCCAAGCCACCAGUAAUGAUCUUUCGAUGUAUGAUACAUUUUACUACUGCUUGGAUGCAUAGCAUAAGCAGAACUACGUGCCUCUUCUAAAAUUUCCUUCUUCAAUUCUGGAAUAUCUGGAACACAUAAUCUAUUAUUCAUAGCUAAUGCACCAUUAUUCCUAAUAACAUAAUCCGUUCAUAACCGAACACUAACUUCUGCUUUCAAAGUUCUCAAUGUCAGGUCUUGAGAUUGAGAUUCUCUAACCUUAUCAAUCAAAGAAGGCCUUACCUGAAAAUGAGCUAAUAAUGCCCCAAAAGUAGUAAUUGACAACUGAGUGUGCAACUUCUUGAACUCACCAAUCAAGGAAGCAUAUACUGCACUAGAUGAAGAGGAAGAAUCAGUCUUUCUACUAAGAGCAUCUGCAACUAUAUUAGUUUUCCUUGGAUGGUAGUCAAUCUUACAAUCAUAAUCCUUUAUCAAUUCCAACCAUCUUCUCUGCCUUAGAUUUAGUUCCUUCUAAUCAAAGAUAUACUUUAGACUUUUAUGGUCGGUAAAUAUUUGAGAUUUCUCACCAUACAGGUAGUGCCUCCAAAUCUUUAAUGCUGACACCACUCUAGCUUAUUCCAAAUCAUGAGUUGGGGUAAUUUAACUCAUGCUUCUUCAAUUUUCUAGAAGCAUAAGCUACAACUUUCCCAUUCAGCAUUAAAAUACAACCCAAUCCUUGGCGUAAAGCAUCACUAUAGAUCACAAACUCUUCACCUGGAGAUGGAAGAGUAAGUAUAGGAGCAGAAACUAAUCUUCUCUUCAACUCUUGAAAACUCUUUUCACAUUCUUCAGUCCACACAAACCUGGUGUUCUUUCGAGUCAAACUAGUCAGAGGAAGAGCGGUUUUGGAAAAAUCCUCUACGAACCGAUGAUAAUAUCUUGCUAGCCCAAGAAAACUCUAUACUUCUGUAACAUUAGUAGGGCGUUCCCAUUUUAUUACGGCUUCAAUUUUUUGAGGAUCUACACAAAUACCUUCUGACGAGAUAACAUAACCCAGAAAUACAACUUUGUCCAGCCAAAAUUCACAUUUGCUAAACUUAGCAUACAACUACUUAUCUCGCAAAGUUUGUAAAAUAAUUCUCAAAUGUUCAGCAUGCUCAUCACAACUACGAGAAUAAACCAAUAUAUCAUCAAUGAAAACAAUCACAAAUUUGUCUAAAUAUGGGUGAAGCACCCUAUUCAUCAAGUCCAUAAAUGCUGCUGGGGUAUUAGUCAACCCAAAAGGCAUCACUAGAAACUCAUAAUGGCCAUACCGUGACCUAAAAACAGUUUUCUGCACAUCAACAUCCCUAAUUUUGAGUUGAUGGUACCCCGAGUGCAGAUUAACCUUAGAAAAUAUCGUAGCACCUCGAAGUUGGUCAAACAAAUCAUCGAUACGAGGCAAAGGAUACUUGUUGCGAAUAGUCACUUUAUUCAGCUGCCUAUAGUCAAUACACAAUCGCAUUGUGCCAUCUUUCUUCUUUAUAAAUAAGACCGGUGCUCCCCAUGGAGAUACACUGGGUCUAAUAAAGCCUUUGUCAACUAAAUCUUGCAACUGAACUUUUAAUUCCUUUAACUUUGCUGGAGCCAUUCUAUAAGGUCUCUGCAAAAUAGGGGUAGUCCCUGGGAUCAAGUCAAUGGCAAACUCAAUUUCUCUAUCUGGAGGCAACCCUAGAAGAUCUUCAGGAAAAACAUCAGGGAAAUUUCUUACCACAGGUAUAUCAUCAAGUUUCAACUUAGCGAUUUGGGUGUCAAUCACAUGAGCCAAAUACACAGAACAACCUUUUCUAAACAAUCUCCCAGCAUCAAGUGCAGAAAUAAGACAUGAAGGUAAUAUUCUCCGUUCACCACUAAAAAUAAUUUCAGGCUUUUUUGGCCUUCUGAACACCACCUCUUUGAGAAAGUAAUCAAUUGAAGCAUGAUUUGCAGCUAAGAAAUCCAUGCCCAAUAUCACAUCAAAAUCAUGAAUAUCAGGUGGAAUCAAAUUAGCUUUCAACUCAUGAUCAUUCACUCUAAUCAUACAAUCCUUGUACACUCUAUUGGCUAAAAGUGAACCUCCUAUUGGUGUAGCUACCACUAAAUCACUGUCUAAUAGUUCUGACAUAUGGUCCGCAUUAAUAGCAAAUGCAUGUGAUAUAAAUGAAUGUGUAGCACCAGAAUCAAUUAAAGAACGAGCAUUUUUGCCAAAAAUAGAUAACAUACCCAUGACUACAUCUGGGGAUCCCUCGAUAUCAUGCUGAGUUACUGCCAACACUCUUUCCUGAGUCCUGGGACGUCCUGCCCGACCUUUCUGUUUAGAACCACUGCUGCCAACAUCUGAUUGAAUAGCACUAGUGGUACCUAUUUUACCUGCCAACUGGUCCUGGUUCUGAUUUUGUCUGGAAAUUCCAACACCUGACUGUAAAGAUGUCCCUUGUGAUUCACCACCCUGCUGAAAACGAACUGGACACUCUCUCCUCAUAUGCCCAGUCUGACCACAGUGGUAACAAACACCAACGCCCUUAAGGCACUCACCAGGGUGAAAUUUCCCACAAGACUGACACUAAGGAAACUUGGCAACACUGGAGCUAUCACCCUGCCCAGAAGUAAAUGAUCUGUGGGAAGAUCCAUGUGUCUGAAAACGACUACUUCCUGGCUGUUGUACAGAUCUCUGACUGCCAUGAGAUCUGGAUUUGAAGCUGCCAGAUGUGGAAACACCUAAUCCACUUCCUUUAUGAUCUCUUCUCGGUGGUCUAUUCCUUGAGACUCCUGGCCACUGAUGACUAGCACCAACUCUAGGCCUCAUUUUCUACUGACUAUUUUAUCGUUCUGAAAGACUUUUCUCCACUCGCAUCACUGCUUCUACAAGUUUACCAAAAUUUUCAUACCCUGUUGCAGUUACCACGGAUCUAAUUUCUUCUCUCAAGCCAUGGUCAAACCUUCUGCACUUAUCAACUUCAUUGGCUACAAGGGCUGUAGCAUACUUUGAUAAUUCUAUGAACUUUUUCUGAUAUUCAGCUACUGUGGAUGUCUGAACUAUUUUCAAGAAUUCAUUCUGUUUGUCAUUCAUAUAUGAACGGUAGCAAUGAUAAUCAUUAAAAUCUUCUUUAAAAUCAACCCAUGUGAUCACAGAAGGAUCAACAUAUUUACUCUGUACUGAUCUCUACCAAUCAUAAGCAUCUCCUUCUAACAAGAAGGUUGCCAAACGUAUCCAUAACAUCAAAUACUCUUUCAAUCCUUACCAACCAAGAUUCGGCUUCUGCUGGAUCAGUAGUGCCUGUAAACACUUUAGCUCCUAAUUUGGUUGCUUGCUCUAUGAUAUAUUCUUUAUCAGAACUGCGUAAAGCAGAAGCAACAGCAGUGGCAAUCCUAUCAGCUAUAAUAUCAGACUGAGUUACAUCUCCUUGUCGUGUCUGCUCAUGAAUUUGCUGUACAGAUUGUUCAACUCUACUAUCCUCUCUAUUAGGAGCAAUUUGUGGUUGAGGCGGCACAUUAUGGAGUCCGCGAAUCUUACCAUCACGAGCCAUGACUUCCAACUACAAAACAUGUACAAUAUGAUCAGAA
rnacentral:lncRNA from 1 species